AUUGAACGCUGGCGGCAUGCCUUAAAAAUGCAAGUCGAACGAGUGGCGAACGGGUGAGUAAUACAUCGGAACGUGCCCUGUAGUGGGGGAUAACUAGUCGAAAGACUAGCUAAUACCGCAUACUAUAGGAGCGGCCGAUGUCUGAUUAGCUCGUUGGUGGGGUAAAGGCCUACCAAGGCGACGAUCAGUAGCUGGUCUGAGAGGACGAUUAGCCACACUGGUACUGAGACACGGCCCAGAAUCCUACGGGAGGCAGCAGGGGGGAAUUUUGGACAAUGGGGGCAACCCUGAUCCAGCAAUGCCGCGUGUGUGAAGAAAGCCUUCGGGUUGUAAAGCACGUUAGUACAAGAGGCGGUACCGGAAGAAUAAGGACCGGCUAACUACGUGCCAGCAGCCGCGGUAAUUC
rnacentral:rRNA from 1 species